UACGGGGGGGGCAAGCGUUGUUCGGAAUUACUGGGCGUAAAGGGCUCGUAGGCGGCCAACUAAGUCGGAUGUGAAAUCCCCAGGCUUAACCUGGGAACUGCAUCCGAUACUGGAUGGCUUGAAUCCGGGGGAGGGAUGCGGAAUUCCAGGUGUAGCGGUGAAAUGCGUAGAUAUCUGGAGGAACACCGGUGGCGAAGGCGGCAUCCUGGACCGGCAUUGACGCUGAGGAGCGAAAGCCAGGGGAGCAAACAGG
rnacentral:rRNA from 1 species